rnacentral:rRNA from 1 species
UACGGAGGGUGCGAGCGUUAAUCGGAAUAACUGGGCGUAAAGGGCACGCAGGCGGCCUUUUAAGUGGGAUGUGAAAGCCCGGGGCUUAACCUGGGAAUAGCAUUUCAGACUGGGAGUCUAGGGUGCUUUAGGGAGGGGUGGAAUUCCACGUGUAGCGGUGAAAUGCGUAGAGAUGUGGAGGAAUACCGAAGGCGAAGGCAGCCCCUUGGGAAUGUACUGACGCUCAUGUGCGAAAGCGUGGGGAGCAAACAGG